ACUUUACAAUGCGAGAAAUCGUGAUAAGGGAACCCCGAGUGCCCGUAAAUUCGGGCUGUCCAUCAGCGUAAAAAACUGGUGAAGAAAGGGCCGGGCAAGACCGGUGCCAGCCGCCGCGGUAAUACCGGCGGCUCGAGUGGUGGCCACUAUUACUGGGCUUAAAGCGUCCGUAGCUGGAUUGUUAAGUCUCUUGGGAAAUCCACCGGCUCAACCGAUGGGCGUUCAGGAGAAACUGGCAAUCUAGGGACCGGGAGAGGUGAGAGGUACUCCAGGGGUAGGAGUGAAAGCCUGUAAUCCUUGGGGGACCACCUGUGGCGAAGGCGUCUCACUAGAACGGCUCCGACAGUGAGGGACGAAAGCUGGGGGAGCAAACCGG
rnacentral:rRNA from 1 species